rnacentral:rRNA from 1 species
GACGAACGCUGGCGGCGUGCUUAACACAUGCAAGUCGAACGGAAAGGCCCCCACCUUGGUGGGGGUGCUCGAGUGGCGAACGGGUGAGUAACACGUGGGUGAUCUGCCCUGUACUUCGGGAUAAGCUUGGGAAACUGGGUCUAAUACCGGAUAGGACCAUGGUUUAGUGUCUCAUGGUGGAAAAAUUAUUGUUUUGGUGCAGGAUGAGCUCGCGGCCUAUCAGCUUGUUGGUGGGGUAAUGGCCUACCAAGGCGUCGACGGGUAGCCGGCCUGAGAGGGUGGACGGCCACAUUGGGAAUGAGAUACGGGCCAGACUCAUACGGGAGGCAGCAGUGGGGAAUAUGGCACAAUGGGCGAAAGCCUGAUGCAGCGACGCCGCGUGGGGGAUGACGGCCUUCGGGUUGUAAACUCCUUUCGUUAGGGACGAAGCCACACCUUUUUGGGGUGUGGUGACGGUACCUUUGUGAAGAAGCACCGGCUAACUACGUG